CCCGGGCGGGCCGGGGCCUCGACGUGGUGGCCGCGGCUGCGUCAGCUCCUUGUGGCUUCAAGGCAGCCCAACUUCAGAAAAAACAGGUAGCUGGAUGAGAGGAAGCUACAGAGAAGCAAAUUGCAGUGGGAAAGCUUGUUGCAAGGCUACCAAGUGGGUCUGCGAGGAAUCCAGCAGCGGUCUCUUCAAUCAUGGAAAGUGCUUUUAGAAAACAUUAUGGUAAUGCUCAGCAUUAAAUGUUGUUUCUACCCAAAAAAAAAAGGAAAAAUCACUGUGAAAGAAACAAGAAAGUAGCACAGAGAGAAGAGUGUUCGCUGCAGGAGAAGUACUUUUUCACUCCAUCUGUAAAUGUUUUUCGAACACAAAAUAAAGAUGUCUUCAAGCAACAAAAUUCACAGAAUCACAAAACUGCCAGAGUUGGAAGGGACCUCUAGAGAUCAUCUAGUCUGACUUCCCCACUAAAGCAAGAUCACCUAGAGCACAUUACUAAGGACUGCACCCAGGCGGGUUUUGAAUGUCUCCAGAGGAGGGGACUCAAAUUCAGAUGGUGAUCAGGCCCCAAGGCUGAACUCAGGUAAUGGGCUAGUCAAAUGAGAAGGCAAAAUCAUUAUUUUCAUCAGCACAUUUCCUUUUACUUGCCAGAGACGUUUCAAAAGAAAGCAGGCCAGUGUGGUUAAGGAACAGAUAUUUUUGAAAAAAAUUGAGCUAGUUCUAAAAACUAAUAUCUAAUACUAAUUUGAAGGUCCUUUGUAAGUGCAAAUGAGUCUGGAUGCCACAAAAUUUGAAUGCUCUCUUUAUACAUAGCUUCAAUGGCUUUCUAAUGUCCUUCCUAACUACUUUAUUUUGAAACAUUUGGAAUCUUGGCACACUUUGCAGAUGCUACUGAUGCCCGCCUACAACCGUAGGCUGGAAAAGUAGAGAAAAUGUACAGAAUUAAGUCAGAGGAGAGGCUUUCAAUCUAUAUCCUCCAGGCCCAUGUAGAAUCUGACUCAUGUAGGAGAACUGUUACCAGAAAAAUCUUCUUUGAUACUUACACCCAUUCACAUCUCCACCUGAGCAGAAUGCCCACUCAAAAUGAGUCUCAGCAUUGACGGGCAAGCAUGCUCAUUUAAUUGUUGCAGCAAUGGAGAGGUUGUUAGAGUUACCUAUGAAAGGAAAAAUGAUGAGAGGCUUCGAAUUGUUGAGAAGAAUUUAGGUGAUUGGCAUAAAUAGGCAUUUGUCAUUUGUGUGUGAUACCAGGCAGAAAUUGCUGUGUGGGUGCAAUAGCUUUGCGUGUUUGUUGUGGUUAACUUAGCUUAAGUCAGUAGUUCUGCUGAGAGAAGUACAUGGCAUGCCAGAGGCAAAUCAAUGAAGGAAAAGGCAGAUAUCUUAACUUCUCCAGAACUGAAAAAAAGCCCAGUGUAAUACCUGCAUGGUUACAAUCUAAAAAGAAAUUGACAGUUAGUUCUGAGCAGAAUUUAACUUACACUGGAAAGCUAUCAAAAUAUAAGAAUUUACUACAUGAUAAAAAUAAUCAAAGGGUUUUGAUGUUAUUGCUGUUUCUAGCAAUCUAUGUAAUGAUUAAUCAUUUACCUUCCCUGAAUCUAAAAAACCCAAGGGUAAUAGAGACUGGACAGAGAUGUAAAUAAUUGCAUAAGCAUGGACUUUAGAAAUAUUCUGUUGAACCUGCAACAUCCAUUCUUCUUGUCAAUAGGGAACACAUUGAACAAGGAAGCACAGUAUGUAAUAACAAUAAUAAUCUCAUUAUUGAAAUGUAAACGAAGGAACACAGAACCUAUAAUGUAUAUUGACCAUUUGAGUCAUUAAGAGAACUUUGGGGGGCUCAAAGUCAGAGGGAAAACAGACUCAGGAUUCUGCCAUGCAAAUCUGACACUACAUGGCAGUUUCCCAUUAACGCAAGGGAAAGCAUUUCAUUAUUGAUAAGCAGAAUGCAUUCUAUGUUAGUUGUUGGAGUCAACACAAGGGCUAAAUUAAUAGGCAUGUUUACUGUGCACUGCCCAAAAUUGGAUCAAAACCAAAAGAAGAUGGUUUUAAAUUCUUCAUUUCAGAUACUGUUUACAAAUCCGGACACAUAACUUACAAAUGUCUUGGUUAGCCAUCCUCAUUGGUUAAAGAAGGAACAAAGACAGCAUUGAUAUGAUUUCUUCCCCAAAUUAUGAAUAAUUAUCUCUGAAGGUACAGCAGUUCUACACUAUUCACUCAUUCGUUUAAGUAGGAUAACUCAUGUGACUAAGUGCUCAUCAGCAGGAAUAAAGAUUAGUAAAGCCUGCCCCUGCAAGUUCUUAAUGCUAUUGUCAGAUGGAUUUUAUUCUUGUACAGCUCCUUAAAAAUAUAUGAUAUCUGAAACUA